GACGAACGCUGGCGGCGUGCUUAACACAUGCAAGUCGAACGGAAAGGCCCUGCUUUUGUGGGGUGCUCGAGUGGCGAACGGGUGAGUAACACGUGAGUAACCUGCCCUUGACUUUGGGAUAACUUCAGGAAACUGGGGCUAAUACCGGAUAGGAGCUCCUGCUGCAUGGUGGGGGUUGGAAAGUUUCGGCGGUUGGGGAUGGACUCGCGGCUUAUCAGCUUGUUGGUGGGGUAGUGGCUUACCAAGGCUUUGACGGGUAGCCGGCCUGAGAGGGUGACCGGCCACAUUGGGCCUGAGACACGCCCCAGCCUCCUCCGGGAGCCACCAGGGGGGAUUCUGGCCCAUGGGCCGGGGGCCUGAUCCCGCACCCCCGCGUGCGGAGUGACGUCUUCCGGUUUUUACCCCGUUUUCCCUUGUGCAGACGCGUGGGUGACGCUAGUGGUUAAAGAACCCCCGGCUACCUACGUC
rnacentral:rRNA from 1 species